rnacentral:lncRNA from 1 species
AGGAUGCUGUGCAAUUAAAUUAGGAGACUACUGUAAAGAUGCCUUUGUUUAUUACACAUAUUUUUAAUUUCAUUAUUUCAUUUUAGAGUCAAGUAAGAAGUUGUAUCCAUCAGGAUAGGGGGAAGCUUGUCCAUGAGCUUACCUGUAUUUAUAAGGUCCAGAGGAUGAGUCCUUAGCAUUGCUGGUGAGAGGAGCAUUUAGCAGGAGUCUGUGGUUAUCCAGCACAUUUUUUCUUUUAACCAGAAAUAUUUAAUAAGAAAGUGAAGUAGCAUAUUCUAGCACAUUCCUCUUGCAAUAAAAUAUUUUUCAAUCCACAGGCUGCUGGCAUUUAGUCCUUUGAAAAUCUAAUAACCUUUGAAAUGUCGUCAUUCAUAAGGAAAUUCUGUUAUAGUUUCUGAAAAAAAUAGAUCUUCAACCAUGCUUUCCAUAUUAAAUAUUAGGAUUUGGUUGAGAAAACAGGAUUCAUAUUUAUAUUUGAAAACUGUGAUUCCUCUGUAAAAAUCUCAAUUCUGUAAUAACAUUUGAAUUUUAUAGAUUUUUAAUGCUGCCACUUAGGAACUUUGCAAACUCCGCAUCUCGAAAAAAUGCACAUAAUCUGUAAUCGUGGUAAUCUUUUAGGUUAGUUCUGUUUAACUCUGACAAAAAGCCAAAUGUUAAUAUAUUUAAUUAUGCUGCACUUCUUUUAUUGUGAACAUUAGGAAAAAAGCCACAAUUUAACCUUUGAGACUCCUGCUUGUACUCUCAGUAAAAUAGCUAUGCUUCUCUUAUAGGCAAUCAUGGUAUAUCUCAGUACCAGCAAUAUUCUUUGGGUUAUAUUGCAAAGUAAUAAAAUGCUGAAGCCUGUUAACUCUGUUGGUGAUGAAUUCAGAAUGGCAUCCAUUCUUUCAACAUUUAACUGAUCCUGCUUUUGAGUGAAAGGAGAUUUUAGGCAUUCAUUCAACUUCUGGAACUGGAAACAUCUAUCAACAGCACUCUAAUGCCAGAGUUGUUCACAGCUGUUGGCUUUCAAGGCUCAAGGAAUCCUCAUCUAUUGAUCUUUUCUUACUUGAGGAGCUGUUCUGCAACACUGAUCAGCUACACCACCUUUUGCUGUAUCUCUUCAAUUUCUGCAAUAUUACUUUGAAAAGAAGAAACAUUUUUCUAUUUUUGAGCUAUUAUAUUAUAUUAUAUUAUAUUAUAUUAUAUUAUAUUAUAUUAUAUUAUAUUAAUUAGAUGAAGUUGCAAAAAAUAUCUAUAUAGUAGCAGUGUGGUAUUUCCUGCUCUUUGCUUGAUUUUCCCCCUUACACUUUUUAACAUUCUAUUUGCCUUUUUGAGUAAUGUUAUAUAUUGAUGUUAUGUUUACAUGGAACUGUCCCAAAUGCUCUAAGCUUCUU